CUCCUACGGGAGGCAGCAGUGGGGGAUAUUGCACAAUGGGGGAAACCCUGAUGCAGCGACGCCGCGUGGAGGAAGAAGGUUUUCGGAUUGUAAACUCCUGUCGUUAGGGACGAUAAUGACGGUACCUAACAAGAAAGCACCGGCUAACUACGUGCCAGCAGCCGCGGUAAAACGUAGGGUGCAAGCGUUGUCCGGAAUUACUGGGUGUAAAGGGAGCGCAGGCGGGAAGACAAGUUGGAAGUGAAAACCAUGGGCUCAACCCAUGAAUUGCUUUCAAAACUGUUUUUCUUGAGUAGUGCAGAGGUAGAUGGAAUUCCCGGUGUAGCGGUGGAAUGCGUAGAUAUCGGGAGGAACACCAGUGGCGAAGGCGGUCUACUGGGCACCAACUGACGCUGAGGCUCGAAAGCAUGGGUAGCAAACAGGAUUAGAUACCCUGGUAGUCCAUGCCGUAAACGAUGAUUACUAGGUGUUGGGGGAUUGACCCCCUCAGUGCCGCAGUUAACACAAUAAGUAAUCCACCUGGGGAGUACGACCGCAAGGUUGAAACUCAAAGGAAUUGACGGGGGCCCGCACAAGCAGUGGAGUAUGUGGUUUAAUUCGAAGCAACGCGAAGAACCUUACCAGGUCUUGACAUCCGAUGCAUAGCACAGAGAUGUGUGAAAUCCUUCGGGACAUCGAGACAGGUGGUGCAUGGUUGUCGUCAGCUCGUGUCGUGAGAUGUUGGGUUAAGUCCCGCAACGAGCGCAACCCUUAUUGCCAGUUACUACGUUAAGAGGACUCUGGCGAGACUGCCGUUGACAAAACGGAGGAAGGUGGGGAUGACGUCAAAUCAUCAUGCCCUUUAUGACCUGGGCUACACACGUACUACAAUGGCGUUAAACAAAGAGAAGCAAGACCGCGAGGUGGAGCAAAACUCAAAAACAACGUCUCAGUUCAGAUUGCAGGCUGCAACUCGCCUGCAUGAAGUCGGAAUUGCUAGUAAUCGCGGAUCAGCAUGCCGCGGUGAAUACGUUCCCGGGCCUUGUACACACCGC
rnacentral:rRNA from 1 species